rnacentral:rRNA from 1 species
CCAUAUCAAUAAGCGGAGGAAAAGAAACCAACCGGGAUUGCCUCAGUAACGGCGAGUGAAGCGGCAAGAGCUCAAAUUUGAAAGCUGGCUCCUUCGGGGUCCGCAUUGUAAUUUGCAGAGGAUGCUUCGGGUGCGGCCCCUGUCUAAGUGCCCUGGAACGGGCCGUCAGAGAGGGUGAGAAUCCCGUCUGGGAUGGGGUGUCCGCGCCCGUGUGAAGCUCCUUCGACGAGUCGAGUUGUUUGGGAAUGCAGCUCUAAAUGGGUGGUAAAUUUCAUCUAAAGCUAAAUACUGGCCGGAGACCGAUAGCGCACAAGUAGAGUGAUCGAAAGAUGAAAAGCACUUUGAAAAGAGAGUUAAAAAGCACGUGAAAUUGUUGAAAGGGAAGCGCUUGCGACCAGACUCGCCUCCAGGGUUCAGCCGGCAUUCGUGCCGGUGUACUUCCCUGGGGGCGGGCCAGCGUCGGUUUGGGCGGCCGGUCAAAGGCUCCCGGAAUGUAGUGCCCUCCGGGGCACCUUAUAGCCGGGAGUGCAAUGCGGCCAGCCUGGACCGAGGAACGCGCUUCGGCACGGACGCUGGCAUAAUGGUCGUAAACGACCCGUCUUGAAACACGGACCAAGGAGUCUAACAUCUACGCGAGUGUUCGGGUGUCAAACCCGUACGCGCAGUGAAAGCGAACGGAGGUGGGAGCCCCCUCGUGGGGCGCACCAUCGACCGAUCCUGAUGUCUUCGGAUGGAUUUGAGUAAGAGCGUAAAUGUGGGGACCCGAAAGAUGGUGAACUAUGCCUGAAUAGGGCGAAGCCAGAGGAAACUCUGGUGGAGGCUCGCAGCGGUUCUGACGUGCAAAUCGAUCGUCAAAUUUGGGUAUAGGGGCGAAAGACUAAUCGAACCAUCUAGUAGCUGGUCUGC